CCUACGGGGGACAGCAGUGGGGAAUAUUGCACAAUGGGGGAAACCCUGAUGCAGCGACGCCGCGUGAGUGAAGAAGUAUCUCGGUACGUAAAGCUCUAUCAGCAGGGAAGAUAAUGACGGUACCUGACCAAGAAGCCCCGGCUAACUACGUGCCAGCAGCCGCGGUAAUACGUAGGGGGCAAGCGUUAUCCGGAUUUAUUGGGUUUAAAGGGUGCGCAGGCGGAGGUGCAAGUCAGCGGUAAAAUUGCGGGGCUAAACCCCGUACUGCCGUUGAAACUGGAUCCCUUGAGUGCGCGAGAAGUAUGCGGAAUGCGUGGUGUAGCGGUGAAAUGCAUAGAUAUCACGAAGAACUCCGAUUGCGAAGGCAGCAUACCGGCGCGCAACUGACGCUCAUGCACGAAAGCGUGGGUAUCGAACAGGAUUAGAUACCCGAGUAGUC
rnacentral:rRNA from 1 species